rnacentral:pre_miRNA from 1 species
AAUAUACUCCCUUCGUCCCAAAAUUCUUGUUUUAAAUUUGUCUAAAUACGUAUGUAUCUAAUACUAAAAUAUGACUUGAUACAUUUGUAUUUAGACAAAUCUAAGACAAGAAUUUUGAAACGAAGGGAGUACUUA